GAUGAAGAACGUAGCGAAAUGCGAUACUUGGUGUGAAUUGCAGAAUCCCGUGAACCAUCGAGUUUUUGAACGCAAGUUGCCCCCGAAGCCAUUAGGCCGAGGGCACGCCUGCCUGGGCGUCACACGUCGUUGCCCCCCCAUCUACUCCUUCGGGAUUGCGGGGGGCGGAUGAUGGCCUCCCGUGCGCCUCGUCGCGCGGUUGGCAUAAAUGCCAAGUCCUCGGCGACGCACGCCACGACAAUCGGUGGUUGCGAAACCUCGGUUGCCCGUCGUGUGCGGUCGUCGCGCAUCGAGGGCUCGAAAAAAUUGCCGGGCUCCGGCUCGGCUUUCAACGCGACCCCAGGUCAGGCGGGGUUACCCGCUGAAUUUAAGCAUAUCAAUAAGCGGAGGA
rnacentral:misc_RNA from 1 species